rnacentral:tRNA from 1 species
GCUCCAGUAGCUCAGGUGGAUAGAGCACAGGAUUCCUAAUCCUGGUGCCGGAGGUUCGAAUCCUCUCUGGAGCACCA